rnacentral:rRNA from 1 species
ACCCGCUGAACUUAAGCAUAUCAAUAAGCGGAGGAAAAGAAACCAACAGGGAUUGCCUUAGUAACGGCGAGUGAAGCGGCAACAGCUCAAAUUUGAAAUCUGGCUCUUUAAGGGUCCGAGUUGUAAUUUGUAGAAGAUGCUUUGGGUGUGGUCCCGGUCUAAGUUCCUUGGAACAGGACGUCAUAGAGGGUGAGAAUCCCGUAUGUGAUUGGGUACCUUCGCCCGUGUAAAGCUCUUUCGACGAGUCGAGUUGUUUGGGAAUGCAGCUCAAAAUGGGUGGUAAAUUUCAUCUAAAGCUAAAUAUUGGCCAGAGACCGAUAGCGCACAAGUAGAGUGAUCGAAAGAUGAAAAGCACUUUGGAAAGAGAGUUAAACAGUACGUGAAAUUGUUGAAAGGGAAGCGCUUGCAACUAGACUUGCAUGCCGUCGAUCAUCCGGGGUUCUCCCCGGUGCACUCGGUGGUAUUCAGGCCAGCAUCGGUUUGGGUGGUUGGAUAAAGGCCUUGGGAAUGUAGCUUCUUUCGGGGAGUGUUAUAGCCCUCGGUGCAAUGCAGCCUAUCCGGACCGAGGACCGCGCUUCGGCUAGGAUGCUGGCGUAAUAGUUGUAAGCGACCCGUCUUGAAACACGG